ensembl:lncRNA
UUUAUAUCUCACAAUAAUUACUUUUUUCUCAGAAUUGCAAGAAAAAUAAGUUUAAAUAGUGAGAUAAAACAGUCACAAUAUAUAUAUAUAUAUUUUUUUUUUGCAUCCCAUGAUGGAAACAGGUUUCCAUAGAUUUCUCUUCUGGAAAUGUAUGAAAAUUUGUGCAUUUUUAAUUACUGCCUCAUCUCCGUAUUCUAACAUUUUUGAAAACUUGUAAUACAAAAUGUCUUACCAUACUGUUAUUAAUUAACUGGGGAAGUAUGGUGAUAUCUUUUAGUUAAAAAUGUUACCCUUUUCACCUGAGCUGUCUAAUUUCUAAUUUCACCCACUUCUGAAGGGUGACGACAGGUGAAACGAACAGUCAGGGAAGUCAAGUUCAAGUUCACAUAUGUCUAGACUGUCUCGUUCCAUACCGUCCCUCUUUCUUCGCAUACGGGGGGUCUGUUUGCCCUUUGACCCGUGCGUAAGUUGCUAUGGAAGGGUGGCGAGAGGUUUCAGUAAUGUUCCUGUGAAAAGGGCGGGCUGUCAGGGCUGUCUAGUGACGUCCCCCCUUCCCCGCCUCUCUCCGCAGCUGGGCACGGUCCUGGAGCCUGGGAAUCUUUAGGCUCAGACCUGGUCCACCCCCCAUUGAGACUCAGUCUAGCCGUACCCUCACCCCACCAUCUGCACGCCGACGAUCUCAAGUUAACAUCUAGUGCCAAAAUGCACAUAUGAUGCACAAUAUGGAGGUGCAAAGGUGUGGUUGUAAUUGCAGUAAUGCAUGUGUGUUUUUAUGCACUGUUCAGUAAAUAUAAAUGGAGCUCUGCCAAGACUGCCGUCUUGUAAUUGGUUGGCGAUGCUGAAGGUGUGUGUUGGAGUCGGAAAGAGAAUUACAGUGUGUAAGAAUGUGUGUGUGGUUGUCGGGCAGCAGGAGGGUAUAAUAAAAGGAGUCAUUUGCAUAAGCUGCAUGGAGCCCGAAGAGGAUGUUCGGAGGAAAACAACAAGAAAGAAAAAAGGACAAAUCCUACGUUGUGCGGGCAGAAAGAGAAAGCCAGAGCUUGCGUAUAGGGGAGAGGGUGGAAAUUAACAGAGAAAGACUUGAAGCUGCUCCCCUUUGAUGUGGACUGAACUCGGUGGAUUCACACUUUGUUGAAAAUGAGACGAAAAUUGACUAAAUAUUCAUCCAGAGAGAACAAUGGGAGCCUCAAGCACCUGAAAGUUUAAGAGGCACAUAAAAUCAUGUGUGUGUAUAUGAGAGCUAAAGUAUUUUGUGUUUAAUAUAAAAGAUUUGUACUGUACAGUAUUAUACAGUAUUUUCAUUAAGAUUAUAUUUGCAUUUUUUACAGUUGCCUAAAGAUAUUUUUCUUUCUUUCAUAGCUAUUAAAAUGAGAAAUAUUAUGUGCAUCUUAUAUACAUAUAGUUUUGUAUUUUUACAUGUAUGUAUUUCCUGUUUUUAUGUUUGUUUUUUUCUGAUUUUUUUAUUUUGAUUUAAUUUUAUUUAUAAAUAAAAAAUUAUACUGUAUAUUGUAUUAUACGGAUGAAUAAAACUGUGAUUCAAAAGUGAAUGAUAU